UUAAGCGACUAAGCGUACACGGUGGAUGCCUAGGCAGUCAGAGGCGAUGAAGGGCGUGCUAAUCUGCGAAAAGCGUCGGUAAGGUGAUAUGAACCGUUAUAACCGACGAUACCCGAAUGGGGAAACCCAGUGCAAUUCGUUGCACUAUUGCAUGGUGAAUACAUAGCCAUGCAAGGCGAACCGGGGGAACUGAAACAUCUAAGUACCCCGAGGAAAAGAAAUCAACCGAGAUUCCCCCAGUAGCGGCGAGCGAACGGGGAGGAGCCCAGAACCUGAAUCAGCGUAUGUGUUAGUGGAAGCGUCUGGAAAGUCGCACGGUACAGGGUGAUAGUCCCGUACACAAAAAUGCAUAUGUUGUGAGUUCGAUGAGUAGGGCGGGACACGUGACAUCCUGUCUGAAUAUGGGGGGACCAUCCUCCAAGGCUAAAUACUCCUGACUGACCGAUAGUGAACCAGUACCGUGAGGGAAAGGCGAAAAGAACCCCGGCGAGGGGAGUGAAACAGAACCUGAAACCGUGUACGUACAAGCAGUGGGAGCACCUUCGUGGUGUGACUGCGUACCUUUUGUAUAAUGGGUCAGCGACUUAUAUUUUGUAGCAAGGUUAACCGAAUAGGGGAGCCGUAGGGAAACCGAGUCUUAACUGGGCGAAUAGUUGCAAGGUAUAGACCCGAAACCCGGUGAUCUAGCCAUGGGCAGGUUGAAGGUUGGGUAACACUAACUGGAGGACCGAACCGACUAAUGUUGAAAAAUUAGCGGAUGACUUGUGGCUGGGGGUGAAAGGCCAAUCAAACCGGGAGAUAGCUGGUUCUCCCCGAAAGCUAUUUAGGUAGCGCCUCGUGAACUCAUCUUCGGGGGUAGAGCACUGUUUCGGCUAGGGGGUCAUCCCGACUUACCAAACCGAUGCAAACUCCGAAUACCGAAGAAUGUUAUCACGGGAGACACACGGCGGGUGCUAACGUCCGUCGUGAAGAGGGAAACAACCCAGACCGCCAGCUAAGGUCCCAAAGUCAUGGUUAAGUGGGAAACGAUGUGGGAAGGCACAGACAGCCAGGAUGUUGGCUUAGAAGCAGCCAUCAUUUAAAGAAAGCGUAAUAGCUCACUGGUCGAGUCGGCCUGCGCGGAAGAUGUAACGGGGCUAAACCAUGCACCGAAGCUGCGGCAGCGAACGUAUCACUUAAAACGCUUAACGUGACGGCAAAGCCGGCAUGUUCAAGCCACACUAAACGUUGAGUUGGCCGAUGUGCUGACAAACGAACAGGCGUUUUAAGGAUACGUUCGUUGGGUAGGGGAGCGUUCUGUAAGCCGUUGAAGGUGACCUGUGAGGGUUGCUGGAGGAAUCAGAAGUGCGAAUGCUGACAUAAGUAACGAUAAUGCGGGUGAAAAACCCGCACGCCGGAAGACCAAGGGUUCCUGUCCAACGUUAAUCGGGGCAGGGUGAGUCGACCCCUAAGGCGAGGCUGAAAAGCGUAGUCGAUGGGAAACAGGUUAAUAUUCCUGUACUUGGUGUUACUGCGAAGGGGGGACGGAGAAGGCUAGGCUAGCCGGGCGACGGUUGUCCCGGUUUAAGCAUGUAGGCGGAGUGACCAGGUAAAUCCGGUUGCUUAUCAACGCUGAGGUGUGAUGACGAUGCACUACGGUGCAGAAGUAGUUGAUGCCAUGCUUCCAGGAAAAGCCUCUAAGCAUCAGGUAACAUGAAAUCGUACCCCAAACCGACACAGGUGGUCAGGUAGAGAAUACUCAGGCGCUUGAGAGAACUCGGGUGAAGGAACUAGGCAAAAUGGUGCCGUAACUUCGGGAGAAGGCACGCUGGCGCUAGGUGAAGAGACUUGCUCUCGGAGCUGAAGCCAGUCGCAGAUACCAGCUGGCUGCAACUGUUUAAUAAAAACACAGCACUGUGCAAACACGAAAGUGGACGUAUACGGUGUGACGCCUGCCCGGUGCUGGAAGGUUAAUUGAUGGGGUCAGCCGCAAGGCGAAGCUCUUGAUCGAAGCCCCAGUAAANUGUGAUGACGAGUCACUACGGUGAUGAAGUAGUUGAUGCCAUGCUUCCAGGAAAAGCCUCUAAGCAUCAGGUAACAUGAAAUCGUACCCCAAACCGACACAGGUGGUCAGGUAGAGAAUACUCAGGCGCUUGAGAGAACUCGGGUGAAGGAACUAGGCAAAAUGGUGCCGUAACUUCGGGAGAAGGCACGCUGGCAUUAGGUAAAGGGACUUGCUCCCGGCGCCGAAGCCAGUCGCAGAUACCAGCUGGCUGCAACUGUUUAAUAAAAACACAGCACUGUGCAAACACGAAAGUGGACGUAUACGGUGUGACGCCUGCCCGGUGCUGGAAGGUUAAUUGAUGGGGUCAGCCGCAAGGCGAAGCUCUUGAUCGAAGCCCCAGUAAACGGCGGCCGUAACUAUAACGGUCCUAAGGUAGCGAAAUUCCUUGUCGGGUAAGUUCCGACCUGCACGAAUGGCGUAAUGAUGGCCAGGCUGUCUCCACCCGAGACUCAGUGAAAUUGAACUCGCUGUGAAGAUGCAGUGUACCCGCGGCAAGACGGAAAGACCCCGUGAACCUUUACUAUAGCUUGACACUGAACAUUGAGCCUUGAUGUGUAGGAUAGGUGGGAGGCAUAGAAGUGUGGACGCCAGUCUGCAUGGAGCCAACCUUGAAAUACCACCCUUUAAUGUUUGAUGUUCUAACUCGGCCCCGUAAUCCGGGGUGAGGACAGUGUCUGGUGGGUAGUUUGACUGGGGCGGUCUCCUCCCAAAGAGUAACGGAGGAGCACGAAGGUUAGCUAAUCACGGUCGGACAUCGUGAGGUUAGUGCAAAGGCAUAAGCUAGCUUGACUGCGAGAGUGACGGCUCGAGCAGGUACGAAAGUAGGUCUUAGUGAUCCGGUGGUUCUGAAUGGAAGGGCCAUCGCUCAACGGAUAAAAGGUACUCCGGGGAUAACAGGCUGAUACCGCCCAAGAGUUCAUAUCGACGGCGGUGUUUGGCACCUCGAUGUCGGCUCAUCACAUCCUGGGGCUGAAGUAGGUCCCAAGGGUAUGGCUGUUCGCCAUUUAAAGUGGUACGCGAGCUGGGUUUAGAACGUCGUGAGACAGUUCGGUCCCUAUCUGCCGUGGGCGUUGGAAGAUUGAGAGGGGCUGCUCCUAGUACGAGAGGACCGGAGUGGACGAAUCACUGGUGUUCGGGUUGUCAUGCCAAUGGCAUUGCCCGGUAGCUAAAUUCGGAAGAGAUAACCGCUGAAAGCAUCUAAGCGGGAAACUUGCCUCGAGAUGAGUCUUCCCUGGGGCUUUAAGCCCCCUGAAGGAACGUUAAAGACGAUGACGUUGAUAGGCUGGGUGUGUAAGUGCAGCGAUGCAUUGAGCUAACCAGUACUAAUGAACCGUGAGGCUUAACCUU
rnacentral:rRNA from 1 species